GCCUCUAUAGCUCAGUUGGUUAGAGCAACUGAUUCGUAAUCAGUAGGUCGAGGGUUCAACUCCCUCUAGAGGCU
rnacentral:tRNA from 1 species